rnacentral:rRNA from 1 species
GAAGAGAGAGUUAAAGAGGACGUGAAACCGGUGAGGUGGAAACGGACAGAGCUGGCGUAUCUGGCCUGUAUUCAGCCGUGCGCUCGCCGGCGUCAGAGAUGCCGCUCUCCAGAUUGGGACGGUGCCUGGCUGCUGGUGGGUGUGUGGUGCAUUUGCAGGUGGAGUGCGCUGAGGUGCUCGGUGCAGCGGCAUGAGCUCAGCCUUGAGGCCAGCCUCGCAAGAGGUCUGGUACCCGGGCUGUGGGAGUGCUGUUUGUGCUGGGUAGGCAAUCGGGGGCAAUGGUUUCGGGCUCGUGUGGGUGCCGAGCUGGCAUUUGGUGGCGGUCGCAUGCGACACGUACCUACGGUCAGUUCGGUCCUGCCCGAGCUCACAUCUGCUCUUCCUCGGUGUAAAAGCCGGUCAUCUGUCCGACCCGUCUUGAAACACGGACCAAGGAGUUUAGCGUGUGCGCGAGUCAUUGGGUGUUGAAAACCCAAGGGCGCAAUGAAAGUGAAGGUCUCCCUUGCGGAGCUGAUGUGUGAUCCUGGUCACCGCGGUGCAUCCAGGCGCAACAUAGUCCCGUCCUGACCGCUUGCGGUGGGGCGGAGACAGAGCGUACGCGCUGAGACCCGAAAGAUGGUGAACUAUUCCUGAGCAGGAUGAAGCCAGAGGAAACUCUGGUGGAAGUCCGAAGCGAUUCUGACGUGCAAAUCGAUCGUCUGACUUGGGUAUA